GGAUGCGGUCAUACCAGCACUAAAGUCCCGGAUCCCAUCAGAACUCCGAAGUUAAGCGUGCUUGGGCGAGAGUAGUACUAGGAUGGGUGACCUCCUAGGAAGUCCUCGUGUUGCAUUCU
rnacentral:rRNA from 1 species